UACGUAGGGUGCGAGCGUUGUCCGGAAUUAUUGGGCGUAAAGAGCUUGUAGGCGGUCUGUCGCGUCUGCUGUGAAAAUCCGGGGCUCAACCCCGGACUUGCAGUGGGUACGGGCAGACUAGAGUGUGGUAGGGGAGACUGGAAUUCCUGGUGUAGCGGUGAAAUGCGCAGAUAUCAGGAGGAACACCGAUGGCGAAGGCGGUUCUCUGGGCAUGUCCUGACGCUGAGGAGCGAAAGCGUGGGGAGCGAACAGG
rnacentral:rRNA from 1 species